AUAAUAAUUAGUUUUUUAAUUAAAGGCUGGAAUGAAUGAUUAGACAAAAUAAAAACUGUCUUUAAUUAAUUUUUAUUGAAUUUAAUUUUUAAGUUAAAAAGCUUAAAUUUUAUUAAAGGACGAGAAGACCCUAUAGAGUUUUAUAUUUAUUUUAAAUUAAAAUUUUAAUUUAUUUUAAGUUUAUUAUAAAUAUUUUGUUGGGGUGAUAGAUGAAUUUAAUUAACUUUUUUAUUUUUAUUUUACAUUAAUUAAUGGAAUUUUGAUCCUAAUUUUUAGAUUAUUAGAUUAAAUUACCUUAGGGAUAACAGCAUAAUUUUUUUUAAAGUUCUUAUUGAUUAAAAAGAUUGU
rnacentral:rRNA from 1 species